rnacentral:rRNA from 1 species
CCUACGGGGGGCUGCAGUGGGGAAUAUUGCACAAUGGGGGGAACCCUGAUGCAGCGACGCCGCGUGAGAGAAGAAGUACUUCGGUAUGUAAAGCUCUAUCAGCAGGGAAGAAAAUGACGGUACCUGACUAAUAAGCCCCGGCCAACUACGUGCCAGCAGCCGCGGUAACACGAAGGGCGCAAGCGUUAUCCGGAUUUACUGGGGUGAAAGGGAGCGUAGGCGGUUAUGCAAGUCUGAAGUGAAAGCCCAAGGGUCAAACAUGGGACUGCUUUUGAAACUGUAAAACUUGAGUGCGGGAGAGGUAAGCGGAAGUCCUAGUGUAGCGGUGAAAUGCGUAGAUAUUAGGAAGAACACCAAUGGCGAAGGCAGCUUACUGGACUGUAACUGACGUUGAGGCUCGAAAGCGUGGGGAGCAAACAGGAUUAGAUACCCCGGUAGUC